AGUGAACGCUGGCGGUAGGCCUAACACAUGCAAGUCGAACGGCAGCACAGGAGAGCUUGCUCUCUGGGUGGCGAGUGGCGGACGGGUGAGGAAUACAUCGGAAUCUACUCUGUCGUGGGGGAUAACGUAGGGAAACUUACGCUAAUACCGCAUACGACCUACGGGUGAAAGCAGGGGACCUUCGGGCCUUGCGCGAUUGAAUGAGCCGAUGUCGGAUUAGCUAGUUGGCGGGGUAAAGGCCCACCAAGGCGACGAUCCGUAGCUGGUCUGAGAGAAUGAUCAGCCACACUGGAACUGAGACACGGUCCAGAGUCCUACGGGAGGCAGCAGUGGGGAAUAUUGGACAAUGGGCGCAAGCCUGAUCCAGCCAUACCGCGUGGGUGAAGAAGGCCUUCGGGUUGUAAAGCCCUUUUGUUGGGAAAGAAAUCCAGCUGGCUAAUAUCCGUUGUUGAUGACGGUACCCGCAUAAGAAGCACCGGCUAACUACGUGCCAGCAGCCGCCGUAA
rnacentral:rRNA from 1 species